GUGAGGAAUAUUGGUCAAUGGACGAGAGUCUGAACCAGCCAAGUAGCGUGAAGGAUGAAGGUCCUACGGAUUGUAAACUUCUUUUAUAAGGGAAUAAACCCUCCCACGUGUGGGAGCUUGUAUGUACCUUAUGAAUAAGCAUCGGCUAACUCCGUGCCAGCAGCCGCGGUAAUACGGAGGAUGCGAGCGUUAUCCGGAUUUAUUGGGUUUAAAGGGAGCGCAGACGGGUCGUUAAGUCAGCUGUGAAAGUUUGGGGCUCAACCUUAAAAUUGCAGUUGAUACUGGCGUCCUUGAGUGCGGUUGAGGUGUGCGGAAUUCGUGGUGUAGCGGUGAAAUGCUUAGAUAUCACGAAGAACUCCGAUUGCGAAGGCAGCACACUAAGCCGUAACUGACGUUCAUGCUCGAAAGUGUGGGUAUCAAACAGG
rnacentral:rRNA from 1 species